AUUGAACGCUGGCGGCAUGCUUUACACAUGCAAGUCGAACGGCAGCAUGGGCUUCGGCCUGAUGGCGAGUGGCGAACGGGUGAGUAAUGCAUCGGAACGUACCCAGUCGUGGGGGAUAACGUAGCGAAAGUUGCGCUAAUACCGCAUACGACCUGAGGGUGAAAGCAGGGGAUCUUUGGACCUUGUGCGAUUGGAGCGGCCGAUGUCAGAUUAGCUAGUUGGUGGGGUAAAGGCCUACCAAGGCGACGAUCUGUAGCGGGUCUGAGAGGAUGAUCCGCCACACUGGGACUGAGACACGGCCCAGACUCCUACGGGAGGCAGCAGUGGGGAAUUUUGGACAAUGGGCGCAAGCCUGAUCCAGCCAUGCCGCGUGCGGGAAGAAGGCCUCGGUUGUAA
rnacentral:rRNA from 1 species